rnacentral:lncRNA from 1 species
GGAUGAAACAUGUAAGGACACUGUAGCUGUCUUCAGACACACCAGAAGAGGGCGUCAGAUCUCAUUAUGGAUGGUUGUGAGCCACCAUGUGGUUGCUGGGAUUUGAACUCAGGAUCUUCAGAAGAGCAGUCAGUGCUCCUAACCACUGAGCCAUCUCUCCAGCCUGAAUUGUGUUCUAAUAUGACGAUUUAUCUUUUCUCUAGCAAUAAACUUACUGCUGGAGAAAAAAACACUAGGUAGGGUUUAUAUGUGCUGGGAAGAAAGUGAGGUGUGCCUGUGGACCCAGACUAGGAAACAAUGGGAUUUGAAGUGGGGCCUCUGCAGAGUGGGCAGUAGAAAGCCCGUGCGUGUCUUGGGCUGACCUUGCCGUGGCAACUUGGAUAGAUGGGAGACAUUCAGGCAGGUGGAGGAGCCUGGAAAGGUCUCUGAAUCACAGAGCCAUCCGUCUGCUGCAUUGGCAUGAUGUAACCCAGGUGCUGACAAAGGGAGAUAGGGAAAUAUUUUCUCCCAGGAGAGAAGCGUGGGGCAGUUAGAUCGUGGGCAUAUUCUCUAGUGCCCCUGUGUUCUCUACUUUUAGUGCUGCCGACAGAAAGCAGCAGGCUUGUAUCUGCGGAUUGAAUUAUUCAGCUGUUGAUCUGAAUGAAAGAACAGGGCCCAUGACAUGUAUCGAUCUGUAAAAGCACUUGCCUCAAAAGCCUGAUAAAUACCUGAGUUCAGUCUCCAGAACCCAUAUAAAAGGCCGGAUGCCCCAUAGCCUAGAACCAACUCCCAAGCCUUGUCCUCUCACCUGCACAUAACUGAACUCUGUUCUCUGUUUACUUGACCAGCAGAUGAUGUCUCUCAGGCGAGUUUAUAGGCCAUUCCAAAGUUUCAAAGAGAGGGCUAGGGCAUCCCGUGGGCAAUGCCAGCCUUUCCUAGGG